rnacentral:rRNA from 1 species
AUUGAACGCUAGCGGGAUGCCUAACACAUGCAAGUCGAACGGAGUGGCGAACGGGUGAGUAAUGUAUAGGAAUGUGCCCAGUAGUGGGGGAUAACUCCGCGAAAGCGGCGCUAAUACCGCAUACUAUCGGAGUGGCCGAUGUCGGAUUAGCUGGUUGGUGGGGUAACGGCCCACCCAGGCGACGAUCCGUAGCUGGUUUGAGAGGACGACCAGCCACACUGGGACUGAGACACGGUCCAGACUCCUACGGGAGGCAGCAGUGGGGAAUCUUGGACAAUGGGCGAAAGCCUGACCCAGCCACGCCGCGUGUGUGAAGAAGGUUUUCGGAUUGUAAAGCACUGUUGUUUGGGAGGCGUUAUCUAACGAGUAAGCACCGGCUAACUACGUGCCAGCCGCCGCGGUAAUAC